AUGCUAGAUUUGGCAGCACAUAUACUAAAACUAAAAUGAAAACAGUGAAGAUUAGCAGGGACCCUGCGCAAGGAUGACAUGGAUAUUCAUGAAGUGUUCAUUAUUUUU
ensembl:snRNA U6 U6 spliceosomal RNA